rnacentral:lncRNA from 1 species
GCUAUUUUAAUUUGAACCUUUUGAUUUUGAUUCAAAAUACAAAAAUUGUACAUUACUAUAAGCAAAACAACGAAGAAAUCAGUAUCCAUCUUGAGAUGAGAUCUUCAUUCACAUAUGAGAUAGUAGUACAUCAGUUUUCUAACAAACGAGGAAAAAAAACAUGUACAGCCACAAAGGUCACAUACACGUGAACUAGUCCAAUAAAAUGCUCAAGUUUCAAGUGUGAACUACUAUUUCUGUCACGUACUACCAAACAUAAUCAAACAAGUAUUCGUUGGUUUUUCUAUAGCAGUACUUGUGUCCUUUUUCCUCUGUCCUCUCACCACCACACAUCUUUCAUAUCAUAUCACAACCAAGCACUGUUCUCACUUUCUGUUUUGUUUUUGGUGAGCACAUAACGGUAGCCAUAGCAGUACUUGUUCAGAGGAAGGAGUUUACAAGCAGAAAGGAAGCGGUUCAAAGAAAAAGGCAGACACUUCGACAUGAGGCGGAGUUGACCUGCAGUUCAUUCUUUUCUGUACCAGCAGUAACAAGGAAGCAGCCAGAGACGAAGCUACCCGAGGCCAGCGGCAAUGGAGCAAAGAAAUCUCCUCUCCUCACCACACACCCUAAUUUGCACCAGUACCUACUACUGCUGCUCCUCCUUGUCGGAUUGGGCACGGCCAACCUGACGACCAACAACAAGAGCAUCAGGCCGGUCUAAUUUGCCAACAAUAUCACUGUCGUACGCCGUCCAUGGGAGGACAAGAAGUCGUGGCCGCAAGUGGGAGAUGCAGAGGAACCACCAGAAGCAGGGAGGUAGCAAAGGUGACCUGCAGCGGCGUCGGAGGGAGCAGACAUGGAAUCAAGGAAUAUAGCAUGCAAUCAAAGAAUCGAAACUAAAAAAAGAAGCGAACUGAAGUUGCUAGACAGGACGAACUUCAGUGGUGCUGGAGGUUGGGGAUGCAGCGGCGCUCGCUAGGUGCAGGAG